GUAGAUCGUUUUGGAAACUAUGAUCAUUUUAAUAACAUUUUUUCUUCUGAUCUAUGAGCAUAGGAUGUUUUUCCAUUUGUUUUUGUCAUCUUCAAUUUAUUUCCAUUCUUUUUCAACUUUCUUUGUAGAAAUAUUUCACCUCUUUGGUUAAAUUUAUUCCUACAUAUUUUUAAGUGUUGCAAAUGGGACUGCCUUCUUGAUUUUGUUGCAGCUUUUUUGCUCCCACAUAUCAGUGAGUGGGAGGGAGUGGUGCCCACCAGCUUCACUUCUUCACUCCCACUGCUCAGUGAGCAGGAGGGAGUGGCACCCAGGGGCUUCUUCUCUCCCAUUGUUAGGCAAGUGGGAGGGAGGGUUACAGGUCUUUUACUCCCACUACCCACAGCUCAGCAAGCAGGAGCAUUAUAGCUCUUGUGUUCCCACUGCCCACAGCUCAGCAAGCAGGAGUGUUAUAGAACUUUUGCCCCUGCAACUCAUCAAGUUCUGGGUUCUUGUCCCAGGACCAGGAGGAAUAAGGUACAGGGACACUGGAGACUAAAUAAGCAUUGGCUUCAAAAUAAGGAAUAUUAAGACAAUUGCAGCUCAUCCACUGCCAAAGUUUGACUAACUGAACUCCACCCUGCUCCAUGAGCCAUGACUACAUCUUUGAUCGGACAAGAGACUGAAUUCAGUAACUUGCUCCUGGUAAGAGACUACCCACCAUGAACUGGUUCUGGACAGUUUACAGAGGCCACACACACCGAGUGUCUUUGUGUCCCUACUUCGCCUUUUGAUGUAUAGGGUCUAAUUGUAAUAAAUUUAAAUGUUAAGUCUCCACCCAAAGUGAACAUAAGACACAUGUAAUAUACAUGUUUGUUUAGUACACAUGCAUUAGGACCCCCUUCAUGAACACUCAUAGCUCCUCUUGUAACCUGUUGAAUAUGUCCACUUAGCCAACUGUUUCUUGUCUCCUCCUUUCCUACCUGGAAGUGCAGGCUAUGUCUCUGCUGGAAGCUGUGCUGUGUGAGGAUAGCC
rnacentral:lncRNA from 1 species